rnacentral:lncRNA from 1 species
GGACGUCGGCGAGAGCACGCGACGCGGCGUUGGGUUCGCGCACCAGAAAGGCAUUGGUGCGCUUGCGGCGCGCGCGUAUGGAGGAGGCUGCCGUCGUCCGCAGAGUCGAGGAUCGCAUGGUCCGUUCCGUCCCGCGCGCCGUGAGCGUCGCAGCAGACGCAACAGUCUUGGGGUCGCGGCGAAUGGGCAGAGGUAGAGAGGCCGAGCGGGACCGACGGCGCAGAGCGCAUCCCACGCAGUUGAUUUCGAUAGAGACGGAUGAAGGCAUGCUGCACGUGCGCAGGAGGAGAGAUAGAUAAUCGCUGCGGGGACGAGUCGAGCAGAGGUGUGGUGCACUAAAAACAGAAAGCACGGCAGAUCGAGCGCCUUUUUGACGCCAGCCGCGGCCGGGCGUAAACCGCCCUCGUCCAAUAAACAACUUGUAUCUUUU